GAUGAACGCUAGCGGCAGGCCUAACACAUGCAAGUCGAGGGGUAGCAGGAUUAAGCUUGCUUAAUUGCUGACGACCGGCGCACGGGUGCGUAACGCGUAUGCAACCUACCUUAUACUGGGGUAUAGCCCGGAGAAAUUCGGAUUAAUCCCCCAUAGUACUAAUGAAUCGCAUGGUUUAUUAGUUAAAGCAUUGCGGUAUAAGAUGGGCAUGCGUCCUAUUAGCUAGAUGGUGAGGUAACGGCUCACCAUGGCUACGAUAGGUAGGGGGCCUGAGAGGGUGGUCCCCCACACUGGGACUGAGACACGGACCAGACUCCUACGGGAGGCAGCAGUGAGGAAUAUUGGUCAAUGGGCGCAAGCCUGAACCAGCCAUGCCGCGUGCAGGAAGUAUGCCCUAUGGGUUGUAAACUGCUUUUGUUUGGGAAUAAACCUCUUUACGUGUAGAGAGCUGAAGGUACCAAAUGAAUAAGCACCGGCUAACUCCGUGCCAGCAGCCGCAGUAA
rnacentral:rRNA from 1 species